GUCCCUGUAGUAUAUUAAAUAGCGCGUUGGACUUCUAAUCCAAAGGUCGUAGGUUCGAAUCCUACCUGGGAUG